CAACUGAAGUGUUGAAUUUUCCUGCAAGACCUAACUCUUCUUCGAUUUCUUUGUCCUGGGCGAAACCUACCAAUGAUGGUCAAGCUAAUAAGUUAGUAGUGAAUGAUGAAGAAGAGCUUUAUAAGCCUAAAAAACUGUAAGUCUAUAUAUCUCCAUUUGCCGACGCAUUGAGUUCAUUGAUGUAAGCAACAAUCUAAGAAUAUUUCUUCGCCGCACUAGGGCAGGUGGUUUGGGUAUCAAUCUCACUUCAACCGAGACCUAUAUAUAUUGUGUGACAGUGAUUAGGGUAAGCUCUCUCAUGGUCUAAAUCUCUAAACAUCUAUUGCAUCAUCUCCUCAAAACCCUGAAAUGGAUUUGCAUCCCAUGGAUAUUUGCCAAAGGAUAGGCCAAACCCGACCAAUUCGUGUGUAUAGUCAUUAGAGCUUUGUUUACUAUUGUGGAUGUCUUUUGUACUUGUGAAUAUUAUUUCUCGUUUAAAUUUUUUUUGUCAUAUGAACUAAUUAACUUUUCUUUAAUUAGUGUCGCAUAUUAAAGAGAGCUUUCAGUAAGUUGAGGCGUGAGCAUGUAGUGAUUGGGAAAGGCCAGUUCUAGUAGGAGAGAACCAAGUCAAAUUCUUUGAAUGUUCUUGAGGUUUGUGUUCUGUUACCUUCUCGCAUCUUGGUUGCUUUGUUAUGUUGUUAAACCCCUGGUUUGGAUAUCGAAGAACCACCCAAUGUUUUGAAUAUCCUUGGGUCUCUAUCAAAAGUAGAGACAUGAGGGUAGUAGCAACGUUGUCAUCACCUUUAUGUUUUUCACUUAUCUUUGUGCACGAUAGACCACCAAGUUGUUCCAUGUCGUCAUCACCUUUCACUAUGGUACAUAAUCAGAAUUAUGUACCUAGGCAUUGUAGUUUGAUAUUUUUCAUUUUCUUUCAACAGGCUGACAUCUAGAAUGUGAUGGAUGCUAUUGGAUCAACACUUUAUGUUAUGCAAACAAUGGUUUCCUGUCUAUGCUCUGUACUCCCAAAGGUGAACUGGCUAUAGUUGUCAGGAGUUUAAUUUUUUCUAUUCCUCAAGUUGAUUAUAACCAAUUAACCACAAACUUCAAAUAGUAAGUUGUGAUGUUGAUAUCUGUCUUUUUUAUGUAUAUGUUUUUUUCCCUUGGUUCCUAUUAACAAGAGUUUGUGUUUAAUAAAAAAAAUGUGUUCAUUAAGUUCGAGAUUGUGAAUGCUUUGGAAAUGUUAAUUGUUCAUUUAAUGUACUAAUUAAUUGCAUUUUCGCUUAGUUAGUUAUCGUAGGUACAUUAUAGCAAGUGUUAUGGCAUAAUGCAAUAAUGCUAAUAAUGUUGGAUUGCAGU
rnacentral:lncRNA from 1 species